ACACUCUGGGGGCCCUCAAGGUCUUGGGGCAGAACAGGAGCACCAGGAGGGCUGGGGAGGUCCUCCAGUGGAGCCGUCAUUUUCCAGAUGCAGACUCAGAGUCAGCUGGUCAGAGCGCCCACCUGGGAAAGUGCUUCACUCCCCUCCCAUCCCACGUGCGGUGCUUUCAAGGGGCUCCUCAAAUAAGGAAGGGAGGCUGGAGAUCAGGCGAGUAACCACAUCCUGCGUCAGGAAGAAAAGGCUUUCUCCCAGGCGGAUGUGGAAAGGCUUCCUGAAAUACCCUGGAGCUUGCUCUUACUACGGAAAAUGACAGCUGGCCAGUCCUCACAGCAGGUGGCUAGCUGAACCUGAAUGAACCCUACAUUUUUUAAAGGUGAAGACAUGACAGCAUUAUGACAUCCAGCGAGUCUGCCUGUCCCUUUCUGAUGACUCAAAGCAAAAACAUCAACCAGAUUGUUUUUAAAUAAAUGAAACUGGCUUAUUUGCCCAACCCUACUCUUCUGGCAAAUGGAGAUCAUGCACAAUGAAAUAACCUGUAAUUUAGAUCAACACCAAUGAGCAGUCAAAGUGCUGUAUCUUUGUUCUCUUUCAAAUCAAGAUCCUUCAGUAGUAAAAAGAGACGAAAGCUUCUCCUGUGUCCUAAGGUCUUUCA